rnacentral:rRNA from 1 species
AGAGUUUGAUCCUGGCUCAGAUUGAACGCUGGCGGAAUGCUUUACACAUGCAAGUCGAGCGGCAGCGCGGGGGCAACCCUGGCGGCGAGCGGCGAACGGGUGAGUAAUGUAUCGGAACGUACCCAGUCGUGGGGGAUAACACAGCGAAAGCUGUGCUAAUACCGCAUACGUCCUGAGGGAGAAAGCGGGGGACCUGUAAGGGCCUCGCGCGAUUGGAGCGGCCGAUAUCGGAUUAGCUAGUUGGUGAGGUAAAGGCUCACCAAGGCGACGAUCCGUAGCUGGUCUGAGAGGACGACCAGCCACACUGGAACUGAGACACGGUCCAGACUCCUACGGGAGGCAGCAGUGGGGAAUUUUGGACAAUGGGGGAAACCCUGAUCCAGCCAUUCCGCGUGAGUGAAGAAGGCCUUCGGGUUGUAAAGCUCUUUCAGCAGGAACGAAACGGUAAGCUUUAAUAAAGUUUGCUAAUGACGGUACCUGAAGAAGAAGCACCGGCUAACUACGUGCCAGCAGCCGCGGUAAUACGUAGGGUGCGAGCGUUAAUCGGAAUUACUGGGCGUAAAGCGUGCGCAGGCGGUCUUGUAAGACAGAUGUGAAAUCCCCGGGCUUAACCUGGGAACUGCGUUUGUGACUGCAAGACUAGAGUGUGGCAGAGG